GAUGAACGCUGGCGGCGUGCCUAAUAUAUGCAAGUAGAACGCUGAAGGAAGGAGCUUGCUCUUUCCGGAUGAGUUGCGAACGGGUGAGUAACGCGUAGGUAACCUGCCUGGUAGCGGGGGAUAACUAUUGGAAACGAUAGCUAAUACCGCAUAACAGUAGAUAUUGCAUGAUAUCUGCUUGAAAGGGGCAAUUGCUCCACUACCAGAUGGACCUGCGUUGUAUUAGCUAGUUGGUGAGGUAACGGCUCACCAAGGCGACGAUACAUAGCCGACCUGAGAGGGUGAUCGGCCACACUGGGACUGAGACACGGCCCAGACUCCUACGGGAGGCAGCAGUAGGGAAUCUUCGGCAAUGGACGGCAGUCUGACCGAGCAACGCCGCGUGAGUGAAGAAGGUUUUCGGAUCGUAAAGCUCUGUUGUAAGAGAAGAACGAGUGUGAGAGUGGAAAGUUCACACUGUGACGGUAUCUUACCAGAAAGGGACGGCUAACUACGUG
rnacentral:rRNA from 1 species